rnacentral:rRNA from 1 species
UACAGAGGUGGCAAGCGUUGUUCGGAAUUACUGGGCGUAAAGGGCGCGUAGGCGGUCUUGUAAGUCUUGUGUGAAAUCCCUCGGCUUAACUGAGGAACUGCACGAGAUACUGCGAGACUUGAGAUCGGGAGAGGGAAGCGGAAUUCCGGGUGUAGCGGUGAAAUGCGUAGAUAUCCGGAGGAACACCGGUGGCGAAGGCGGCUUCCUGGACCGACACUGACGCUAAGGCGCGAAAGCUAGGGGAGCAAACGGG